rnacentral:rRNA from 1 species
GACGAACGCUGGCGGCGUGCUUAACACAUGCAAGUCGAACGAAGAGCGAUGGAAGCUUGCUUCUAUCACUCUUAGUGGCGACCGGGUGAGUAACGCGUAAUCAACCUGCCCUUCAGAGGGGGACAACAGUUGGAAACGACUGCUAAUACCGCAUACGAUCUAACCUCGGCAUCGAGGAUGGAUGAAAGGUGGCCUCUAUUUAUAAGCUAUCACUGAAGGAGGGGAUUGCGUCUGAUUAGCUAGUUGGAGGGGUAACGGCCCACCAAGGCGAUGAUCAGUAGCCGGUCUGAGAGGAUGAACGGCCACAUUGGGACUGAGACACGGCCCAGACUCCUACGGGAGGCAGCAGUGGGGAAUCUUCCGCAAUGGACGAAAGUCUGACGGAGCAACGCCGCGUGAGUGAUGACGGCCUUCGGGUUGUAAAGCUCUGUUAAUCGGGACGAAAGGCCUUCUUGCGAAUAGUUAGAAGGAUUGACGGUACCGGAAUAGAAAGCCACGGCUAACUACGU